rnacentral:rRNA from 1 species
GAUGAACGCUGACAGCAUGCUUAACACAUGCAAGUCAACUUGUGGCGGACGGGUGAGUAACGCGUAAGAACUUGCCUCACAGAUAGGGACAACAUUUGGAAACGAAUACUAAUACCUGAUAGCGCUGUGAGAGGCUUGCUCCCAUUAGCUAGUUGGAGGGGUAACGGCUCACAAAGGCGAUGAUGGUUAGCUGGUCUGAGAGGAUGACCAGCCACACUGGAACUGAGACACGGCCCAGACUCCUACGGGAGGCAGCAGUGGGGAAUAUUGCACAAUGGGCGAAAGCCUGAUGCAGCCAUGCCGCGUGUGUGAAGAAGGCCUUCGGGUUGUAAAGCACUGUCAGCGGGGAGGCGUUACCCGCAGAAAAAGCACCGGCUAACUCCGGCCAGCAGCCGCGGUAAUUC